rnacentral:rRNA from 1 species
UACUCGAGUGGCGAACGGGUGAGUAACACGUGGGUGAUCUGCCCUGCACUCUGGGAUAAGCCUGGGAAACUGGGUCUAAUACCGGAUAGGACCAUGCUUUAGUGUGUGUGGUGGAAAGUUUUUCGGUGUAGGAUGAGCCCGCGGCCUAUCAGCUUGUUGGUGGGGUAAUGGCCUACCAAGGCGGCGACGGGUAGCCGGACUGAGAGGUUGGUCGGCCACAUUGGGACUGAGAUACGGCCCAG